rnacentral:siRNA from 1 species
UUUCAAUUUACUGGUGUACAUCA